UGACACCGCCGGCAGGUGGGCGGCUCUGGCGGCUGUUUCGGCCCAACCCCCAAGCUCACAGCCCAGUUCUCACCAGCAUGGAUCACUGACAGUGCCUUGAACCUUUCUCGCUAGCAGCCCACCAGUCCUACCUGGAGUCUGACUUUAGAUCCCCACUCUACAAUACAAACUCAAAGCCCCUGGGCCUCUUGAGAGAGGGAGAAAAUGAUCUGUCAAGACACAAAGAGAAAUGGCUCUCCUACUGCCAAGCCCCAGACCAUCCUAUAGAACUGGACCUGAGUUCACAUCACAGCUCCAGGGACCAACAGCUCCAAGUAUCUUUGGUUAAGGCACUGACAGCUGGGUACAGAAGUAGACCCCACACCCAGGAAGUAGUGGACAGAAGUGGAGGGUAGUGAUCCAGUGUCACAGAAAACACACUACAGAAGUGCUCCUCUCCAACCUUGGCCCAGCUGGGUUCCUCGGGUCAACGGAAGACUUGGGUGAGACUUCACUGGAUCAGACAGUGGAAGACUGGCAAUGUGUGACGACAAGAAAUGCAAUUUGCCCCCCAAGCCUCAACAUUCUCUUCUGUAAAUUGGCAUCAUAUUAGUUUGAACCAUGUGGAAUGGCUGUUUUUACAGGUUAAAAAAAUAAAAAAAUAAACCAGUUGAA